ensembl:snRNA U6 U6 spliceosomal RNA
GUGUUACUUCGCUAACACUUAUACUAAAAUUGGAACGAUACAGAGAAGAUUAGCAUGGCCCCUGCGCAAGUAUGACACUCAAACUCGUGAAACGUUCCUCAUUUUC